GGCCGGUUGGCCCAAUGGCAAGGCGUCUGACUACGACUCCCUUCAAUGCUCUUCCCGAGAGUUGAGAGUUCGUGUAAUCAGGAGAUUCUGGGUUCGACCCCCAGGCUGGUCA
rfam:Colletotrichum salicis strain CBS 607.94 Scaffold_1145.1, whole genome shotgun sequence.